rfam:Papio anubis isolate 1X1155 chromosome 4, whole genome shotgun sequence.
CCAACGGCUCUUUUAAGAGCCACCUACACACUUCGGGAAAAGAGCU